CACCAUUACAACUUCCUGGAUGUGUUUUACGAGCUGCUUCACUUCAGAUACUCCACUUCACUCAGCUCCUGAGGCAGUAAGUGUCUUAUCAGGAGAUUUAAAAGUAAUGCUUUAAUGUAGUUUCAGAACAUGGUCUAUUUUAUCUAAUUUUGUUUUCCCAAAUUUUUAACCCUAAUAUUCCUAAAGGGAUGAGGGAUGAUUCUUGCAGAGCCUGUUUGGGUUCAUCAACAUGUGGGACACAGAUGUUUGGGAGCCUGCAGCAGAGUUGUACUUCACAGUGCCUAUUGUAAAUUCAUGUGGAAUCUUUUGAAUAGCAAUGUGAGAGACAGCAGCUGGAUCAGAAAUGCCAC
ensembl:lncRNA